UACGGAGGGGGCUAGCGUUGUUCGGAAUUACUGGGCGUAAAGCGCACGUAGGCGGAUUGGAAAGUUGGGGGUGAAAUCCCGGGGCUCAACCCCGGAACUGCCUUCAAAACUCCCAGUCUGGAGGUCGAGAGAGGUGAGUGGAAUUCCGAGUGUAGAGGUGAAAUUCGUAGAUAUUCGCAAGAACACCAGUGGCGAAGGCGGCUCACUGGCCCGGAACUGACGCUGAGGUGCGAAAGCGUGGGGAGCAAACAGG
rnacentral:rRNA from 1 species